AUACGUAGGGGGCAAGCGUUAUCCGGAAUUACUGGGUGUAAAGGGAGCGUAGGCGGUAUGGUAAGCCAGAUGUGAAAGCCCGAAGGCUUAACUUCCGAGGAUUGUCAUUUGGAACUAUCAAACUAGAGUACAGGAGAGGUAAGUGGAAUUCCUAGUGUAGCGGUGAAAUGCGUAGAUAUUAGGAAGAACACCAGUGGCGAAGGCGACUUACUGGACUGAAACUGACGCUGAGGCUCGAAAGCGUGGGGAGC
rnacentral:rRNA from 1 species